CAGCAAAUAAAUAGAUAAUUUCACAUAUAUAUAUAUAUAUUCCGCAGAUGGUCUGCAUUAUUGUAUUUUUCGCUUAGAUUUACAUAUUGUUACGCCUGGAUUGUACGUACAUAAGCAACCCCUGCUAGUCUACAUUUUGUACGCUUUUUUAGGUUUAAAAUGAAAAAAAAAAAACUAAAGUGUUCAAACGCGUAAGUUAACGACGAACUAACUGCUAGAUUAGUGUCACUGCUUCAAAACAAGCACAUUUUUCUGAUGUCCACCACAGAAUCGUUAGAAUGUCUUUGCUAUACCGCUCUUUGCCUAAUCUUACUAACUCGUACCUCCUUAUGUUUGUUCACAACUUUCUUGAGCUCGACUGGAGCCUUCAUCAUUUAUCGUCAUUAAUAUUGUUUCGUGCUGGCUUCCAAGCGUACCCUUUCCUCACUGUUUACUCGAUGUAAGUAUACUUCAAGGACUUCACGCCAACCCUGCGUCGGCAUCACCUCUGCCAUCAUCAAGCGGACUAUUACCAUAGUCGUUAUUUUUGCUAAACUAAUUAUUAGUUUUUUUUUUCAUUUGGGAAUUCGUAAUACUGACACUGUUCGCACGCAGCGUAUCAUUUCCGUUCGCCGGCAAUCAUAAACAGUUGCGUGUUACGUCGAGGUACUGUGUACGUUCGUUCCGUGCUCUAAUGCCGCCGGGUGGUUUGUCGACAUCGAGGACGUCGUCCAAAACGAUCAAUCUUAAAUUGCAAUUGGAAACACUUACCAAACAAAACGGACCCGGUGACCAGCGCUAGACGGCUGGCCGCUUGUUGAAAGGCUUGCACACGGACGAUGCUGCCGUUGCGCCUUACGUGAAUAAACCAGACGUACGUUCUCGGUCACAACUUCGUUCCGAUAGAAAGACAUGAGAUAAAACGACAAACGAAAAUAUUGAUUUACACGACUAGGCGAUUUCUGGAUUGGCAGUAGGGACGUCGUUAUUUAGCUUGCAAUUUCUUUACUGUUGUAACAUUUGGGCGUAUGCAUCUUUUAAUAUAGAUACGUUUUUUGACGUUUUGUGCAUAGACGAUCGCGGUAACAGUAAGCACGAUUGCAUUGGCUAAAUCCUAAUUUUUGGGAAAACCAAAGUAUGUUUAUUCUCUGUAACUUGACGUCACAGACAUGUGUGUUUUAAGCCAGCCGUCAGUAUAUAUAAACGCGAAUUGGCUUAAGCUCAAUAGAAAACAGCUCAGUCGAAGGGGUGGACUCGUAAAGGUCCACAAUAUGGCGUGUAUGUCCUCGUUUUUUGCUCUUUUCACGUGCUUUAAAUGGCGCACAUCGUAGGAAACUUGCACCUCAAUAUGUGACCGCCAAAGUAGUCAUAUCGACGAGCACUUGAUCAGCCUCGAUCGUAACGCCGUGCAAUUUGGAUGUCUUCAAAAUGUAUUUGUGCAUUCACGUUACACGUAAACACUCAGAAACUGCUGGCAGCCGUUAACAUCAACAACACGUACAGCGUCUCCAGGCCUAAAGUUUCUAUUCUGUGUAUGUCGCAAGUUCCUUGAGCGUGCUUAUACCGAGUAGAAGAGAAUGAUGAUUUCGGGGCCAAGCUGUUCAACGCCAAAUAACGCUGAUGAUGUGGCUACCCGUCAAUUCCUUGAUGACAACCUAUUCGAUCGCAUGGCACGCUCUACUCAGAGAAUCGAGCAGUUAAGCAAGCAGAUAACGCCAACGUCACAUUUACUGUCCCAAGUGUGGCGCGAGGCCGUACAACCACCUUGCUUAGAGUUUUCGAGUCGGGCUUGUGAAAACCAGAUGUUAGCACCAGCGAUCGCGGCAAUCGAGAAGGUAGCGCCAAAGACCAGGUUUGAAGCUCCACCACUCUAUACGCCACUGUUUAGCGAUGCCCUCAUUCCUCAAAAGACUUCAUUGUCUACAAUCCACACCCCACCGGAUACUGAACGUUGUCCGGGAAGACGACUGUUCGACGACGCGUCAACAAACACACCCCCCCACGAUACCGCUAUCCUCACUGCCAGCCCCACUUCAUGAAUCCAUUCCUGGAAAAGUAAACACAUCAGAAGGUCAACGAUUAUGGUGGUAGGCACCCACGAACUAAUCCUACACCGAUUCAUUAAAUAUCCGGAGUGAUAUUUCUUUAUAUGUUAAUUAAUAGAGUGACUGAAAUUCGUCUGAAUGAAUCUAAACGACUGCAUUGAUAGACAAUUGGCUUUCACAACAAAACGCGGCCUGCUUAUGCCCGGAUUUGAGCCCACGUCAUCUUCACUGUAUGGACAAGUACAUUAUCACCACGCUAUUAGACGGAACCAGAAAACCGAAAUCUACGACAUAACAACGAAGGGACACAAGCAGACGAUUUUUCAGCUUGUGCAAAAACACUCUACUCUGACAGGUGCGAGCACGCGAUCAUUUGGAAGUAACUCCCUAGGUGCAUUACCAUGGUCUCUUCAGAACGCCAACACCUGACAACAUCCCGAGCCGAUUAAUCUUUUAAACUCUUGAAAAAUCAUUCUUAACAUAUAACGGUAGCGAGUUAUUACAUUUUGCGUUCUUAUUUUUUAACCUAU